rnacentral:rRNA from 1 species
GGACCUAAGGCAAGGCCGAAAGGCGUAGUCGAUGGGAAACAGGUAGAUAUUCCUGUACCACCGCUAUAUGAUGACGAAGCAGUGACGCAGAAAGGUAGAGCGAGCGGCCAGUUGGUGAGCCGUUCAAGUGAGUAGGGUGUUGCGUAGGCAAAUCCGCGCAACGUGAGCCUGAGACACGAUGACGAGUGAAAAAUAGUAACGAAGUCCUUGAUCCUCCGCUGCCAAGAAAGCUGCUAAGGAAUAUAGAGGUGCCCGUACCGCAAACCGACACAGGUAGACAGGUAGAGAAUACUAAGGCGCGCGAGAUAACUCUUGUUAAGGAACUCUGCAAAAUGAACCCGUAACUUCGGGAGAAGGGUUGCUCUCUAGCGUGAGUAUGAGCAAUACAGAGCGCAGGAGAGUCGCAGUGAAAAGGUCCAGGCGACUGUUUAGCAAAAACACAGGUCAUUGCAAAAUCGCAAGAUGAAGUAUAAUGGCUGACGCCUGCCCGGUGCUGGAAGGUUAAGGGGAAGAGUGCAAGCUUUGAACCGAAGCCCCAGUAAACGGCGGCCGUAACGAUAACGGUCCUAAGGUAGCGAAAUUCCUUGUCGGGUAAGUUCCGACCCGCACGAAAGGCGAAACGAUCUGGACGCUGUCUCAACAAGGGACUCGGUGAAAUUGAAAUUCCGGUAAAGAUGCCGGAUACCUGCGAUAGGACAGAAAGACCCCAUGGAGCUUUACUGUAGCCUGAUAUUGGGUUUCGGAUAUUCAUGUACAGGAUAGGUGGGAGACUAAGAAGCAUGGACGCCAGUUUGUGCGGAGUCACUGGUGGGAUACCACCCUUAAAUGUUUGGAAUUCUAACAAGGAGUCUUGAAGCAGAUUAUUGGACAGUGUCAGGUGGGCAGUUUGACUGGGGCGGUCGCCUCCCAAAAGGUAACGGAGGCGCUCAAAGGUUCCCUCAGAACGGAUGGAAAUCGUUCGCAGAGUGCAAAGGCAGAAGGGAGCUUGACUGCGAGAGCCACAACUCGAGCAGAUAGGAAACUAGGACUUAGUGAUCCGGCGGUCGCGAGUGGAAGUGCCGUCGCUCAACGGAUAAAAGCUACCCUGGGGGUAACAGGCUUAUCUCCCCCAAGAGUUCACAUCGACGGGGAGGUUUGGCACCUCGAUGUCGGCUCAUCGCAUCCUGGGGCUGAAGUAGGUCCCAAGGGUUGGGCUGUUCGCCCAUUAAAGCGGUACGCGAGCUGGGUUCAGAACGUCGUGAGACAGUUCGGUCCCUAUCCAUCGCGGGCGUAGGAAAUUUGAAGGGAGCUGACCCUAAUACGAGAGGACCGGGUUGGACAGACCGCUGGUGAACCAGUUGUUCUGCCAAGAGCAUAGCUGGGUAGCUAAGUCUGGAAAAGAUAAACGCUGAAAGCAUCUGAGCGUGAAGCGAACCUUAAGAUGAGAUUUCCCACAACGAAAGUUGAUAAGACACCAGAGAGAAUAACUGGUAGAUAGGUCAGGAGUGUAAGUGUGGUGACACAUUGAGCGGACUGAUACUAAUAAGUCGAAGACUUAGCCU